rnacentral:rRNA from 1 species
GAUGAACGCUAGCUACAGGCUUAACACAUGCAAGUCGAGGGGAAACGACAGUAAAGCUUGCUUUAUUGGGCGUCGACCGGCGCACGGGUGCGUAACGCGUAUCCAACCUGCCCCCAACUCCGGAAUAGUCCCCCGAAAGGGGGGUUAACGCCGGAUGCUGCAAUUUUUCCGCAUGGUGAAAUUGCGAAAUGUGAAGGAGAAGGAUGGGGAUGCGUCUGAUUAGCUUGUUGGCGGGGUAACGGCCCACCAAGGCGACGAUCAGUAGGGGUUCUGAGAGGAAGGUCCCCCACAUUGGAACUGAGACACGGUCCAAACUCCUACGGGAGGCAGCAGUGAGGAAUAUUGGUCAAUGGACGGGAGUCUGAACCAGCCAAGUAGCGUGCAGGAUGACGGCCCUAUGGGUUGUAAACUGCUUUUAUAGGGGGAUAAAGUGUGUCACGUGUGGCAUAUUGCAGGUACCCUAUGAAUAAGGACCGGCUAAUUCCGUG